GGGAUAGACACACAGGCGCUCGAGCACACACACACACACACACACACACACACACACACACACACACACAUCCGCCCGCACAGAGACCCCUCCCCUACACAAGCUUCCCUCCGGGAUUUCGGGGCUGAACUCCCCGCGUGAACUCUCUUGGAUCACCCCUGCUCUUCUCCCAGCCCCAGGAAAAACAACGUAAGAACAAAGAGAAGAAGGUCGUCUAUGAGGCAGAAGAUGAGCUCUCACCAGAAACCUGAUUAUCAGACACCUUGAUCUUGGACUUUCCAGCUGUUGGAAGAGUGAGAAAUAACUUUUGGUUGUUGAAAAGACCAGAAAUUGAAAGAUUGGAACCUUGAAAGACUGAAUUGAAAAUUGAAGCAGAAAUGGAGAGCCAGGAGGAGGAAUGAAUCUAAAUAGUAGAGACAAGAGUUGUUAAUAAUUAUACUACACAGAUAUCUCCCAUAACAAAGAAUUAUUCAGAUGGAAACAUCACUAAACCUGAAAUUAAGGCCUUUUUGGUAGUGUUUUUACAAUACCAACUUAGUUGGCAUCUUAAGUACAUCUUGGCUUCUAAAAAGGAAAGUAUAAUCUAGAGUUGUGAGUGUGACUGGUUUCUGUGUUCUGUGUACUUCUUUUCGUUAACCUUGCUAGUUUUUGUGGUACAAAGCUUUCAGAAUUUUACAGACUUUGACUACGUGAUUUAUCAUUAUUGAGAAAGCUGUGUUUAAAUCUUCUGGUAUGUAGAUUAGCGGAGCACUCCCUAUACUUCUGUCAGCUCUUGCUUUAAAUAAUUUGAGGUUAUAUUUUUAGGUGGCACAGAAUUAGAAUUCUUAUGUCUUUCAGGUGAAUUGAAGUGUUUAUCAUCUUUUAGAAACUAUCAUUUUUGCUAAGUAUUAAAAUGUUAAGUUUAUUUUGUCUCAUCUAUUUUUAGAAACAUGCUUGACAUCCUGUUUUAUUAUGUAUCUAUUGAUCUAUUGUAAGCCUUACCCUAUAUUUCUUUUGUCUUAUUAGUGUCACUGAAUUUUAGGGUGUAUCUUGUGAAUAGCAUGAGGUUCCAUUUGUUUGGAAUCCAGUUGUGUAUUCUUCGUGGCUUAAAAAAGUUAUUUAUUUCAACUACAUAUUUCUUUAUUUCUAUAUAUCAUCUACUAUUGUGAUUUUAUUGAUACUUUAUGUUUUAUAGUUAAGUGUCUCUAUAGUUUAUAUUACUUUACUUUGCCUAUAAUACUUACAACUUCUUUUAAUCACCCCUUAACAUUGCAAUGAAGACUAAAAGGUAUUUACUACUUCUAUGAUCCUUUCUACAUUCCCAAACAGCUAAACUGAAGGGGCCUAGACUUAAGUUUUUCCUCAAGUAAUGAUUGCUUUCUUCAUGUAAAUCAUUAUAAUUGAUUCCUUAAUCAUUAUUUCACAAUGAUUAAGGCAUCAUUGGCUCACAGUUGCCCUCUUCAAUCCGAUUCUACUUUGUACCUGUUAUUUUGAUGUCUACACCAUUCAUUAACAGUUUCUUAAAUUUUGGCAAAAGGUUGAGGUCAACAUUGUGUUUUUUGGUUCUUACUUCUGGGAUCAACAAUAUCUCCAAAGAGACUAGUUAAUAUGAAAGAUUCUAUACAACUGGCAAGAUGCAGACAUGAACUAUGAGCAUUGUUCUAUAUGUUUUAUGAUUUUUGUCCUUGUAAGUAAACAGUAAAUGUGUGUAUAUGUAUAUACAAUAAAUAUUUUUGUAUAUGACACACUUACAAACAUAUACCCACUAUUAUCCACUAAUCUACUGAAAUAUUGUGAAUCUAUACGUGUGAAUUUAUUUCUACUUUCAAUAAAAUAACAAUUAUAAUCAUUGUAAAUAAUUGAUUUUCUUUCUGUUUCUUGAAUAGUGAGAAAGCUAACUUCCAGCAAUCUCAGUAUAUUUAUUAACUGUCUAGCUCCUUUUGUGUGAGUAAUAUCCACAUAAGCUGUAACAUCAUUGCCCUUGACCUUGGUUCUGAUACUGUCAUUGCCUCCUUAGUUGACUGCCAUCAGAGAGCCCAAUACCACCAUCACCUCUGGACCACACUGCUUCUCUACCCUCUGAUCUGCUGAUCUUUGGAACUUUCUAAAGUGCACCCCAAACCUCUGUCUUAAAGGAAAUUGAAGCAAUGGAAAGGAAAAGAAAACAGCAGGAUACUGAAACUCGGAAGUGAAGUUUUUCAGGAUAUUUAAAUAUUUAAAUCAGGUUUCAAUAUCCCACUUCUAUCACUGUUAUUCUCAUUUGCUUAAGUAUAAAAAAAAUCUUAUU